AUGUCCCGAACCCCGCAGAAUGCUGAUAUUUCUGGUGAGUCUAUGGAUGCUUUGUCACCAACAAAGUCCGAAGACACGUUUGAGAGUUUCCCGGCAGAGAGCAACAUAGGUAAUGGUGAAGACAGUCAGGAAAAUGAAGGUAAGCGCAAAAGAAAAAAGUCAAAAUAUUGUCAAUCCCCCUACGACCUUCUCAUUACCCGCAAGAAACGUGUUAAAAAAAAAUCAUCAAUGCAUAUUGUAAACACCUACAACACCGUGAUUUUUCUGAUCGUUACAUAUCAACAACGUGGUUCCCCAAAUUUAUGUUGA
rnacentral:rRNA from 1 species